CCUACGGGAGGCAGCAGUGGGGAAUAUUGGACAAUGGGGGCAACCCUGAUCCAGCCAUGCCGCGUGUGUGAAGAAGGCCCUCGGGUUGUAAAGCACUUUCAGUGAGGAAGAACGCCUGGUGGUUAAUACCCAUCAGGAAAGACAUCACUCACAGAAGAAGCACCGGCUAACUCCGUGCCAGCAGCCGCGGUAAUACGGAGGGUGCGAGCGUUAAUCGGAAUUACUGGGCGUAAAGCGCGCGUAGGUGGCUUGAUAAGCCGGUUGUGAAAGCCCCGGACUCAACCUGGGAACGGCAUCCGGAACUGUCAAGCUAGAGUGCAGGAGAGGAAGGUAGAAUUCCCGGUGUAGCGGUGAAAUGCGUAGAGAUCGGGAGGAAUACCAGUGGCGAAGGCGGCCUUCUGGACUGACACUGACACUGAGGUGCGAAAGCGUGGGUAGCAAACAGGAUUAGAUACCCCAGUAGUC
rnacentral:rRNA from 1 species